GACCAAGGAGUCUGACAUGUGUGCG
rnacentral:ncRNA from 2 species